rnacentral:rRNA from 1 species
GCAAGUCGAGCGGACCUUUUAAAAGCUUGCUUUUGAAAGGUCAGCGGCGGACGGGUGAGUAACACGUGGGCAACCUGCCUGUAAGACUGGGAUAACUUCGGGAAACCGGAGCUAAUACCGGAUAAUAUAAGGAACCUCCUGGUUCUUUAUUGAAAGAUGGUUUCGGCUAUCACUUACAGAUGGGCCCGCGGCGCAUUAGCCAGUUGGUGAGGUAACGGCUCACCAAGGCGACGAUGCGUAGCCGACCUGAGAGGGUGAUCGGCCACACUGGGACUGAGACACGGCCCAGACUCCUACGGGAGGCAGCAGUAGGGAAUCUUCCACAAUGGACGAAAGUCUGAUGGAGCAACGCCGCGUGAGCGAUGAAGGCCUUCGGGUCGUAAAGCUCUGUUGUUAGGGAAGAACAAGUGCGAGAGUAACUGCUCGCACCUUGACGGUACCUAACCAGAAAGCCACGGCUAACUACGUGCCAGCAGCCGCGGUAAUACGUAGGUGGCAAGCGUUGUCCGGAAUUAUUGGGCGUAAAGCGCGCGCAGGUGGUCCUUUAAGUCUGAUGUGAAAGCCCACGGCUCAACCGUGGAGGGUCAUUGGAAACUGGGGGACUUGAGUGCAGAAGAGGAAAGUGGAAUUCCAAGUGUAGCGGUGAAAUGCGUAGAGAUUUGGAGGAACACCAGUGGCGAAGGCGACUUUCUGGUCUGUAACUGACACUGAGGCGCGAAAGCGUGGGGAGCAAACAGGAUUAGAUACCCUGGUAGUCCACGCCGUAAACGAUGAGUGCUAAGUGUUAGAGG